UACGAAGGGGGCUAGCGUUGCUCGGAAUCACUGGGCGUAAAGCGCACGUAGGCGGAUCUUUAAGUCAGGGGUGAAAUCCUGGAGCUCAACUCCAGAACUGCCUUUGAUACUGAGGAGCUCGAGUCCGGGAGAGGUGAGUGGAACUCCGAGUGUAGAGGUGAAAUUCGUAGAUAUUCGGAAGAACACCAGUGGCGAAGGCGGCUCACUGGCCCGGUACUGACGCUGAGGUGCGAAAGCGUGGGGAGCAAACAGGG
rnacentral:rRNA from 1 species